ACUGUCAAUCUACUAACUUAAC
rnacentral:miRNA from 1 species